rnacentral:lncRNA from 1 species
CAGGGAUAGGGGCAUGGAAAUAGGAGAGAGGUCGUUUAAGGGUACAGACUUGAACUACCAGAUAAAUGGGUCCCAGAGAUCUAAUGCAUAGUAUGGUGAAUAUAGACAAGGAUGUUGUAUUAUAAUCAUCAAACUUGCUAAGAGUCUAGAUCUUAAUUAUUCCAACCAAUUAUUAUUCCCACAAAAAAGAAAUGAUAAUUCUGUAGCAGUGAUAGAGGUGCUAACAAUCGCUACAAUGGCAAUCACACUACAAUAGAUAAAUGCACCAAAUCAACAUGUUGUAUACCUUAAAUUUGCACAAUGUUAUAUGUGAAAUAUCAAAUAAGUAACACCAUCCAUAUAGAAGAAGUCUAGAGGAAGGAGCUAUAACCCUGUUCUAUCCUGUUGAUCUAAGGAACAGGCAAAGACUAAAGCCAAUGUUAGGAGGAUUAGGGAAAUGGGCAGAGUUCUGAAGACAGUUGCUAAGGAACAGAAACUACAAAGGGAGGCAAGGGUAAGGAUUCUGAUGGUAGUCUAUAUUCAAGGACUAUGACUAGAUAAGAACACUAAUGGUGGUGGAUAGCUGACUGUGGGGGAAAAAAAAUUCAGUAAAGUAGCAGUUGACCAGACUUUUACAGCAUUUGCGUUGCCAAGAAAAAAAAAGUCCAAGUCUGUCAAACAGGGGCUUGCCAUUCCUCAUUCAUUCUCUACUUAUUGCCCCUCGCCCAACAAACCACACCUACAGAGGGUGAGAGGCUAAGAUGGUGCAGCUCCCAGAAGAGAAAUCCCUCUCUAUCUACUUCGGCUGUGGUCAUGGAAAACAACGAACAAAGUAGAGUCUUCUGUUGGGCUCACCAAGAAACCACUUCUCCUGUCAAGGCAGAGAUUCCUUGUUCUUCCUGCCCAAGACAGCGUUAGAGACAGUUAAUCAGAGCCACGUGACUAGAUCUGACCAAUGUGUUUCUGAAACAACGACUUAUUUACUUGUGCCAGAUGCUCUGGACCCCUCCCAACCGCCGCUUUGUGAUAAUGCAGAGAUAAAGAUCUCACUAGAUCCCUCAGCCUCCAAACAAAGGAUAGCAGCCUUGGUGAAGUGUCCAAAUUCACAAUGGAUUGUGUGUUUGAGAGAAAUAAGCUUUUUUUAGGUUAAGCCACAGAGAUUUGAGAACUGUUUGUUACCAUAGUGCAAUGUGUUCUAAUGUGAC